ensembl:ncRNA asRNA:CR44427 antisense RNA:CR44427
AUUUUCGUCUAUUAUUUUUAAGCAUUUUGGAAGCAAUUAACACGCGGUAUGGCAUCGCGCCUCACAAUUGGCGGCGUCCUCAGAAACUCAACUGCAAUAAUAUGUGCACAUAUGUAUUUAAACAUAUUUUAUCUAUAUAAGGACUAAGGAAAAUUCGUUACCUGGACGCGGCUGAUAGCCCUCGGAAUCGGCUCUGUAGCAUCGAAGCUCAUAUCUCAGGCCCUGGGAAUCGUGACGGGGCUGGACAUAGAAGCCCUCAACCACCCGGCCAUGCUGCUCCUCCGAAUAGUAGCCCUUCUCCCAGCGACGAAUGCCAUGGGGAAUGGAGUAGCUGGCCAAAUAAUAAUAUCAAUUAAAUGUCCUAAAUAUAUAGUUAUUAAGAUAAACGUUCUG